AUGCACUGGGAGCCCGACGUGGGAUUCGAUCCCGGGUUUCCAGGACUGCGCCCUGGGCCAAAGGCAGGCGCUAAACCGCUGCGCCACCCAGGGAUCCCCUUUAUUGAGGUUCCCGCCAGAUUCCUUCUAACACCCUUGGUCCCUGGGUGCCCAGGGGCACGGCGCACCCCGUCUGCCACUCACCAUCUCUGGACACAUUUGUGGAGGCUGCGGCGCAUUUUUCAUGACUUUCUGAAAAGUCAGGGAAUGUCUUUCCCCCAAAGCCAGGGAAGGAUGGAAGGAAGGAAGAAAGGAAGCUCCAAGAACAAAAGGAGUAAAAUAACCGUUUGCAUCUGGAGAGACCUGGGCCCUGAGGUUGGGGCUUCCACUCUCCUGUGGAUGAAGAAAUAGAGGUACAGGGAAACUCUGGCGUGCUCAAGUUCCCGUGGUAGGACUAGAACCCUGGCUUCUCACUGCCCCUGGCCCAGGGCUCUGCCCUGAGCUCUUGGCUCGUGCGUGGGCUGUGGGCCUGGCAGGGAUAAUCCGGGGCGUGGGGCUGGGCGUCGGGAGAAAUGCCUCGCCUCGUCCUGGAGGUGGGAGUAGAGGCCGGGCCGGGAAAAUGUGGCUAAAACCCAGUU
rnacentral:lncRNA from 12 species